rnacentral:lncRNA from 1 species
GAGAAUGAGGACAGAAGAAAGAGUGUGAGCAAACGAAUAAGGGGAGGUAUGAGAGUGACUGGCAUAUGCACAGACCCAGUGACGAUGGCAUGAAUGCAAAGUCAAAAGGCACAGAACUCAGUGGCAAGGGAUACAGCUAGAGAUAAUAAAAGAUACGUGAAUGAGAGGAUUUGGGGUAUGGACUUUAUCCUGUUGGCAAUUAAAAUAAUUGAAAUAUUUUCCUCAAGGAAAACUAUGAAAAGGUUUACGUUUAUAAAUGAUAAGUCAGGUAGCCAACGAUGAUUUAGAAAGAGCUGAGAUUAGAAAGUAUUGAACAAGUGGUACCAGAAGAGGAAAUGGAAACAGGGAAUUUAUUCAUUUGGGGUAGCUUUUUA